UGUACACACCGCCCGUCGCUACUACCGAUUGAAUGGCUCAGUGAGGCUUUUGGACUGGCUCCAGGAGGAUGGCAACAUCCACCCAGAGCCGGAGAAUCUGUCAAACUUGGUCAUUUAGAGGAAGUAAAAGUCGUAACAAGGUUUCCGUAGGUGAACCUGCGGAAGGAUCAUUAAAAAAAUCUACGUUUUGGCCGACUCUCGCUGCAAGGCGAGGGAAGGUUUGAUACGUUCUCAACCAUUGUGAAACUACCUGUUGCUUCGGCGGCAUGCUCGUGCUGUCAGCCCGUCCGGAGCCCAACACAAACUCUUCUGUAAACGGCAGUCAGACAAGAUAAAGUAAAUCUUUAAAACUUUCAACAACGGAUCUCUUGGUUCUCGCAUCGAUGAAGAACGCAGCGAGACGCGAUAGGUAAUGUGAAUUGCAGAAUUCAGUGAAUCAUCGAAUCUUUGAACGCACAUUGCGCCUCUUGGUAUUCCGAGGGGCAUGUCUGUUUGAGCGUCAGUACCCACUCUUCCCUUUGCAUUUGCUUAGGAAAGGUCUUGAAGGAAUGCACCCUUCCAAAGUUGCACGCUUGCGAACCCGAUACCGAUCACGACGUAGUAAACAUUCUCGUUAUUGAAAGGUGGAAAGGCCGCCUGAAAUCAAACUGUAGUUUGACCUCAGAUCAGACAAGGAUACCCGCUGAACUUAAGCAUAUCAAUAAGCGGAGGAAAAGAAACCGACAGGGAUUGCCUUAGUAACGGCGAGUGAAGCGGCAAGAGCUCAAAUUUGAAAUCUGAUAUCUUUGGAUGUCCGAGUUGUAAUUUGAAGAGGAAACUUCGGAUUGGACCACGAUCUAUGUGCCUUGGAACAGGUCUGUCAUAGAGGGUGAGAAUCCCGUACACGGUUGAUGGUCUCUUUCCAUGUGAAGUUCCUUCGAAGAGUCGAGUUGUUUGGGAAUGCAG
rnacentral:rRNA from 1 species